UUAAUCUUAAACUUUAAAUAAAUUUAUUAUGAAAGUCCACAAGGCUAAUAAUAAUAAUAAUAAUAAAACAAGGAGAGUAAUUAUUUUAGGGUUAAUAAUAUAAAUACAUAAAUAAAUAAAAACCUAAGUUCUUAUUAACACAGCCUCCGCAGCCGUGAGAAUGAGGGGGAAGGAGAAGAACAGCCACAGUCCAGGUCUUGGACUUAGGUUUCGUAGCUCUUGCUCUGGGCCACCAUUAUCACAGGUAAGAAAACUUCCAUUUCUCUCUCUAUUUUUCUGAAAUCUGGUUCUUCUCUGAUCUGAUGAGUGAAAUAGGUUUGAAUUCAGUUCUGAAAUGGUUUGAUUUUUAAAUUUCUUCCAUGAUUGAAAUGGGUUUCUGAAAUGAUCUUUAUUUUCUGAAAGGGGUUUCGGAAUGGUUUCUAUCAUUGCACCGUUUCAAAAAUGUUUCUCUGUGUAUAGCAAAGAUGAAUCAUGCUAUAUACUUUUUGUGUCUGCAAGGUGCUCGACAAAAUGUCACAAUGGCAUUGCAAAGAUGAGAUUUGUCAUCUCAGUUCUGUUAUUUCUUGUGUUCAUUUUAUUUGGAGUUCCUUUUGUACUCUAUUCAACCAGACAAGUUUUAUUAAUUGCUCCUGCACAAAUUAAGAGUUACUUGGUUGGAUGCAUCGCAAGUUCCGGGCGAAUGAACCACUGAAGGAUUUUAGUGUAGGGAAUUCUUGUACUUGUCUUUCAGGGCAGCCAUCACUGGAUGACCAACAGUACUACCCAAAGUCAAAUUUUGGCACUAAAUCCUUAGGCAAAGCACAAAGAGACAACCAUCUGUGAAAAUCAUUUGCCAGCCUAGAAGCAGCAAGAAUAGAAGCAGACGACUUUGAAGAAGAAUCUUCAGUUGUGAUUUCCGAGCUCUUGCAUGGCUUCCUUACCAUAGGUACUCUUGGUUCAGACCCAGUCAGCACAGACCCAUCAACGCCAACAUUUGCCAUAUCAGUUGAGAACAUAACUAAAAAAGAAACAGAAGUAACAGAGAAUGAACUGAAGCUUAUUAAUGAUGAGUAGGAGAAGGUGAUAGGGGCUGAAGGAGACGGUUGCAAUGACUCAUCUGGGAGAAACAAUCAUGUUAGUACUGGAAGAAACAUUUAUGUUAACACUGGAAGAAGCUGCCAUGGUAGCACCAUUACACUUAGAGAAAAGCCAUUGGAAGGCACAGAGACCAGUGGGAAUGGAACAACAAUCUGUCCACUCCAGAGCUAUCUGUUUGGAUCAGCAAUUGAGUUGCCAGAAACAACCACAGUGGUAAAGAAGGAACAUAGAACAUCGCUUGGGGAGCUGUUUCAGAGGACAAAAAUAGCAGAGGAAAAUUAUGUAGCCAAAAGCGAGAGGGGAGAAAAACGGACAGAAAAUGAGACAGAUAAAUCAGCCAUACACCUUAUGAAAAAGAUGCUGAAGAAAAGAAUGGUUCAUGGUUCUUCUCGGAGCUCCACCACAUCAACUGGGGGAAAUGUUGACUCUGCUUCAUCUGAGACAAAACUGCAUAAGGUAUGUGUACUUCUAGUUUAGACCUCUAUUACAUGAACUUGGGUGCAAUGCAUAUCAAAAUGCCGGACCCAACAAAUCUCAAAUUUAAGGUAUGCAAACUCUGCAAAAAAAGGUCAAUUUUUUUUUAAUAUUAUUUUUAAUAUAUUAUGUGAGACAAAAUGGAAACAUAUAGUGUCAAAAAGGCAUUUUACUUAUUUUACUUCAGUCAUUUGAUCUAUGUAGUGGUUUCACUACGUGGGACUAUUGCAAACUUUCUUGGAGUGUUGAGAUGCCAUUAUACCCUUAUAGUGUACUGAAUGUGCUUGUUCAUCUUUAAGAACUUGUUUAACUUAAGUGUUCUCCAGUUACGGUUACAUGCUCUCCAGUUACGGUUACAUGCUCCCUUUUCUGCCUAUGCAACAGGUUGAUCGACAAUUGUACUUUGUAGUUCUAAUUUAAGCUCAUUUACUUGACUAUGUUAGUCUCAUUUAUAGGGGCUGCUAUGGUUUUCCAUGGGUUUUAAUACUUCAUUGCAAGCUAGUAAUGGAAAUUUCAUUUUUUCAUUUCUUUCAGUGAUAGGACAAAAUAUUAUCUGUUGGCAUCCUUUGUUCUACACAUAAAGCAUAGUGAGUCCAAGGAUUCCGCUGUAAGCCCAAGAAUUUUGCUUUUUGGUCCUGCAGGUGAACAAGACCAUCGCCUUGUCCUAGAACAUUUUACGAUCUCUCUUACUCAAAAGAAGUUUGAGUUUGAGUGGAGAGAUUUUUGAGUGAUUUUUACCCAAAUUUAAAUUUGAUAUAGGUUUCAGUCAAGGGUUGGACAUGCCAUUAUAUCACUGUGUAUUCUAUAUUUAAUUUUCAUUUUGAGACUAAAUAGUUAUUGUUUGCCUUUUAUUUGUAAAUAUAUCAGAUUUAUCAUGAUAUGACAGCUCAUUUAUCUCACUAUUUUGUAUAAACGGGCCAUAAUUUGUAUCCAACGGGAAAUCAACUAAGGAGUGACUGCAGUGAUGUCCCGAUCAUACAAGCAUUGCAGAGAGUUGUUAAUUUGAACUGGAUAUCUGGCCGAAUUCCACAAAAGAUAAUGUCAAUGUUCUUCAUGGAAGGAAACUCUGGCCAACCUCCCAAGCGUUCAGAAGUUUCUAGGAGCUCAAAUGGAGAAGAUGAUGGAGAAGAUGAUGAAGAAUGGUCACUGAUAUCUGAAAUGCACUCAAGGUUAGAAAUUUCUCGGUGAGAUGCAAAAUAUGGUCAAAGAAUUCAAGAACUUAAUUUUGCAA